rnacentral:rRNA from 1 species
GAUGAACGCUAGCGGCAGGCUUAAUACAUGCAAGUCGAGGGGUAACAUGGGUAGCAAUACCUGAUGACGACCGGCAAACGGGUGCGGAACACGUACGCAACCUUCCCAUAACUGGUGAAUAGCCUUUCGAAAGAGAGAUUAAUACACCGUAACAUAACGAAGAGGCAUCUCUUUGUUAUUAUAGAAGCAAUUCGGUUUUGGAUGGGCGUGCGCCUGAUUAGGUAGUUGGCGGGGUAACGGCCCACCAAGCCUACGAUCAGUAACUGGUGUGAGAGCACGACCAGUCACACGGGCACUGAGACACGGGCCCGACUCCUACGGGAGGCAGCAGUAAGGAAUAUUGGUCAAUGGACGAAAGUCUGAACCAGCCAUGCCGCGUGAAGGAUUAAGGCCCUCUGGGUUGUAAACUUCUUUUAUAUGGGACGAAAAAAGGGCUUUCUAGCUCACUUGACGGUACCAUAGGAAUAAGCACCGGCUAACUCCGUGCCAGCCGCCGCCGUAACAC